UGCCGACUACAGCAGCACCUGCACACACAUCGGAGCCGUGCUCGGGGGUUCAGCUGGUCCUUGCACAGGGGUGACACGCAGAUUUGAGAUGCUCUCUUCCAAGUGAUGUGCUUAAUGCGCUGAUUUCUGAUUUGGUUGCCCAAGUCUCUUCCCCUCCUACUUCCUGGCUUUUGCUUAUUACUAGGUAAGAACACUAAGAUUAUUUGCUAGAUGAUAUUGUAAUAGUUUAUACUCUUUUCUUUUUCAGAAUAUCUUUCAUCACUUAAGGUUAAUCAGGGUUUAAUACAGGGGCCCAUCAGUAAGGUUUAAGAGGCCAUUUGAAACCCCCAGAUUAUAUGCAUAAUUCUUUUGGAGAGCAGAUCUACAAAUGGUUAAGAACAAACUUGCUCAUUCAGUAGAUAUUUAUUGAACACCUGUUUUGUUCCAGGCACUGUGUCUGCUGGGGACUCAUAGCUGUCUUUUCUCUUUGCAGGAAAAACAAGAAUGGUGGUGGCUUUAUAUUGCAGAUAGGAAGGAACAGACGUUAAUAUCUAUGCCAUAUCAUGUGUGUACACUAAAAGACACUGAGGAGAUAGAACUGAAGUUUCCUACACCAGGCAAGCCUGGAAAUUAUCAGUAUACAGUGUUUCUGAGAUCAGACUCUUAUAUGGGUUUGGAUCAGAUUAAGCCAUUGAAGUUGGAAGUUCAUGAGGCUAAGCCUGUGCCAAAAAAUCACCCGCAGUGGGAUACAGUGAUAGAGGGGGACGAGGACCAGGAGCACAGUGAGGGCUUCGAAGACAGCUUCGAGGAGGAGGAGGAAGAUGAUGACUGAGCAGUGCGGGGAAGGGGCCACAGGGUUUGCAGAUAUACUUGCAAAUUUGUGUUCUUUUGGAAAUGUCUAAUAAACCAGAAAGAGUGCUGAACUGAUGUUGAGGGAAGUGUUAGUUCCUGAAAUGGGUGCAUAACCAGACAGUGGUGGUGCCCCGGUACAGUCGGAAUGUGCUGAAGGCUUGUUAGGGCCUCUCAAGUUUGGGAUGGUGCAUUUAUUUUGUCUGCAAAUUAUAAUAAACCCUUUGUUACAACUGUCAGGAGGUCUUGAAGGAUGGGCAGAAAAGGUGGGCAGUUGCCAUAGGAAAUACUCUGUCCCUCCUAACC